AUUGAACGCUGGCGGCAUGCUUUACACAUGCAAGUCGAACGGCAGCGCGGGCUUCGGCCUGGCGGCGAGUGGCGAACGGGUGAGUAAUGCAUCGGAACGUGCCCAGUAGUGGGGGAUAGCCCGGCGAAAGCCGGAUUAAUACCGCAUACGACCUGAGGGUGAAAGCGGGGGACCGAAAGGCCUCGCGCUAUUGGAGCGGCCGAUGUCGGAUUAGCUAGUUGGUGGGGUAAAGGCUUACCAAGGCGACGAUCCGUAGCUGGUCUGAGAGGACGACCAGCCACACUGGGAAUGAGACACGGCCCAGGCUCCGACGGGAGGCAGAAGUGGGGAAUUUUGGAAAAUGGGGGCAACCCUGAUCCAGCCAUGCCGCGUGCGGGAAGAAGGCCUUCGGGUUGUAAACCGCUUUUGUUCGGGAAGAAAUCCUUUGGGCUAAUACCCCGGGGGGAUGCCGGUACCGGAAGAAUAAGCACCGGCUAACUACGG
rnacentral:rRNA from 1 species